AUAAGCUAUUUAAGAGCGUAUGGGGGAUGCCUAGGCUCUCAGAGGCGAGGAAGGACGUGAUAAGCUGCGAUAAGCUGCGGGGAUUGGCACACACAAUUUGAUCCGCAGAUUUCCGAAUGGGGAAACCCACUAUAUUGAAGAUAUAGUAUCCGUUAAGGAGGUAAACCCAGGGAACUGAAACAUCUAAGUACCUGGAGGAAGAGAAAACAAAAGUGAUUCCGUUAGUAGUGGCGAGCGAACGCGGAUUAGCCCAAACCAAAGUUGUUUCGGCAAUUUUGGGGUUGUAGGACCACGACAUUGAAUGUUUAAUGAAUUAGAAUUCUUUGGAAAAAGAAACCAUAGAGGGUGAUAGUCCCGUAUAAGUAAAGAGAAUUAUUCAUAGUGGUAUCCUGAGUAGCGCGGGACACGAGUAAUCCUGUGUGAAUCUGGCGGGACCAUCCGCUAAGGCUAAAUACUCCUGAGAGACCGAUAGUGAACUAGUACCGUGAGGGAAAGGUGAAAAGAACCUUGAAUAAAGGAGUGAAAUAGAUCCUGAAACCAUACGCUUACAAGCGGUCGGAGCCAUUUCGAUGGUGACGGCGUGCCUUUUGCAUAAUGAGCCUACGAGUUACCGUUUCUAGCAAGGUUAAGUACUUUAGGUACGGAUCCGUAGCGAAAGCGAGUCUGAAUAGGGCGACUAAGUUAGUGGUGGUAGACGCGAAACCGAGUGAGCUACCCAUGGGCAGGGUGAAGCUAUGGUAACACAUAGUGGAGGCCCGAACCCGUAGACGUUGAAAAGUCUUGGGAUGACCUGUGGGUAGGGGUGAAAGGCCAAUCAAACUCGGAAAUAGCUCGUACUGCAGCGUUGAUUUAGUUUUAUAGAGGUAGAGCACUGAUUGGAUGCAGGGGUUUCAACACCUACUAAUUCCUGACAAACUCCGAAUGCUAUAAAAUGAUGAUCAGCAGUGAGGGCAUGGGUGCUAAGGUCCGUGUCCGAGAGGGAAAGAACCCAGACCAUCAGCUAAGGUCCCAAAAUGUAUGUUAAGUUGAUUAAACGAGGUUGAACUGCCCAGACAGCUAGGAUGUUGGCUUGGAAGCAGCCACUCAUUUAAAGAGUGCGUAACAGCUCACUAGUCGAGCGGUUCGGCAUGGAUAAUAAUCGGGCAUAAACAUACUACCGAAGCUAUGGACUUGUAAAAGUGGUAGGGGAGCAUUGUAGUGUCGUUGAAGGAAAAAUGUAAGUUUUUCUGGAGAAGCUACAAAAGAAAAUGUAGGCAUAAGUAACGAUAAUGCGGGUGAGAAACCCGCACACCGAAAGACUAAGGUUUCCUCAGCUAUGCUAAUCAGCUGAGGGUUAGUCGGGACCUAACGCGAACCCGAAAGGGGUAGUACCUGCUCACAUUGAAAGUGACGGAGGCGUGAAUUUGGUGCGUACUGACGGAAUAGUACGUUGAAGCCAGUGGUAACACGGCAAUAGUACACUGAAACUUCGGUAGAUGUGAUAAUCCAGAGUAACGACUUCCAAGAAAAGCAAGUGAAGCAGCCCGUACCCCAAACCGACACAGGUAGUUGGGAUGAGAAUUCUAAGGUGCUCGAGUGAUUCAUGGCUAAGGAACUAGGCAAAAUCGACCCGUAACUUCGGGAGAAGGGUCGCCCAUCUUCGGAUGGGCCGCAGUGAAAAGAUCCAGGCGACUGUUUAUCAAAAACACAGGGCUAUGCUAAAUCGAAAGAUGAUGUAUAUGGCCUGACACCUGCCCGGUGCUGGAAGGUUAAGUGGAGGGUUUAGCUUCGGCGAAGAUCUGAAAUGAAGCCCCAGUAAACGGCGGCCGUAACUAUAACGGUCCUAAGGUAGCGAAAUUCCUUGUCGGGUAAGUUCCGACCUGCACGAAUGGUGAAAUUGUAGUAUCGGUGAAGAUGCCGAUUACCCGCAAUGGGACGAAAAGACCCCGUGAACCUUUACUAUAGCUUAGUAUUGGCUUUGGAUAAGUAAUGUGUAGAAUAGGUGGAAGACUUUGAUGCAGCAUCGCCAGGUGUUGUGGAGUCACUCAUUGAAAUACCACCCUUUACUUAUCUGAAGUCUAACCUUCAACAAGGGACAAUGCUUGGUGGGUAGUUUGACUGGGGUGGUCGCCUCCAAAAGAGUAACGGAGGCUUCUAAAGGUUCCCUCAGCACGCUUGGUAACCGUGCGCAGAGUGCAAUGGCAUAAGGGAGCUUGACUGAGAGACUGACAAGUCGAUCAGGUACGAAAGUAGAGCAUAGUGAUCCGGUGGUUCCGUAUGGNNNNNNNCUGGAGAAGGUCCCAAGGGUUGGGCUGUUCGCCCAUUAAAGUGGCACGCGAGCUGGGUUCAGAACGUCGUGAGACAGUUCGGUCUCUAUCUAUUGUGGGCGUUAGAAAUUUGAAUGGAUCUGACUCUAGUACGAGAGGACCGAGUUGGACCAACCUCUAGUGUAUCUGUUGUUCCGCCAGGAGCAUCGCAGAGUAGCUACGUUGGGAAGAGAUAAGCGCUGAAAGCAUAUAAGCGCGAAACUCACCAUAAGAUGAGAUUUCUUUAAAGGGUCGUGGAAGAUUACCACGUUGAUAGGCUACAGGUGUAAAGGCAGUAAUGUCAAAGCCGAGUAGUACUAAUUACCCAUAGGCUUAUUGGA
rnacentral:rRNA from 1 species